GUGCCAGCAGCCGCGGUAAUACGUAGGUGGCAAGCGUUAUCCGGAAUUAUUGGGCGUAAAGCGCGCGCAGGUGGUUUCUUAAGUCUGAUGUGAAAGCCCACGGCUCAACCGUGGAGGGUCAUUGGAAACUGGGAGACUUGAGUGCAGAAGAGGAAAGUGGAAUUCCAUGUGUAGCGGUGAAAUGCGUAGAGAUAUGGAGGAACACCAGUGGCGAAGGCGACUUUCUGGUCUGUAGCUGACACUGAGAGCGCGAAAGUGUGGGGAGCAAACAGGAUUAGAUACCCUGUGUUUCC
rnacentral:rRNA from 1 species